rnacentral:misc_RNA from 1 species
AAGUCGUAACAAGGUUUCCGUAGGUGAACCUGUGGAAGGAUCAUUAGUGAGUUAAAAGGCUACUGAAUAUUUUUGGUGCCUAACUCCCACCCUUUGUGUACUUAAAUUAUUCAUCUUUGGCAAAGCGAUUCCUAGCUUUUGCUAGAGGCCACUGAUAGUUUUAUAACUAUGAGUGAGUCUUUGCCAAAGGAAUUCUCAAACUCUUAUUAUAAUUGUAGUCUGAGUAAAUUGAAAAUAAAUCAAAACUUUCAACAACGGAUCUCUUGGUUCUG